ACAGGUUCUGGUUUCUGGACUA
rnacentral:miRNA from 10 species